rnacentral:lncRNA from 1 species
CCUAAUUGGAACUCUUUGUCCCUGCUGCUCAGUGGCCAGGCCCCCAUGACCUCAAUUAGGAAAGACGUGCUUCCCUUCGUGGACCUGACUCUCCACUUUGCAGGCAGAAGCAGGGGCGGGACCGGGGCCAGGCUGCCCACAACUGUCUCUCUGAACUUCAGAGGGUGUGGUCUGGACAAGAGCUCACAGUUCAGUGUCAAGGAACUGCUGAAGUCCUCAUUAGCCUUCCUCUUGAAGCUUUCUUCCACUGAAGCAGUUUUCCAGGACAUUCAGAGACAUGCAGCCACUGACUUAAUUAGUUCUGUGAGACCUCCUACUUUGGGUAUCAAAUAAUUCCAUGCUCAGAGAGACUUGAAGGAAGAAGGGCCUUUGGAUGCUAGCCUACUUCCAGUGCAAAGUGAAACUACUGUCAUGAAAAAGACCCAGCCAGUCUUGGCAAAUACUGAGAAUGCUGCCAACAAAGGAUAAAGGGCCUAUUAAGCCUGUCCCUCGAAUUCCCUGGAGACAGACAGCUCACCUUGGUUUCCUCCUGACCACGGAGGGCACAUCUGUGGGAGGCUAAAGAAUGUCACAGGUAGACAUCUGUUUUAGUUCCUAAAGAAUCAAAAAAAAAAAAAAAGAAUAAAAUAGAAAGGGAAGAUGGAGGGAAGGAGGAGACACAAUGAAGAAGGGGAGGGUAAAGAAAAGAAGGGACACAGAACAGGCACUCCAGUUCUGGGAUGCUCAGCAUAGCAGGACUAGCUGGGUGCUGCAAUCCCAGCACUCAUUAAUGCUAAGAACAGCAAGCUCAUAGGCCAGGCUGCACAGUGAAUUCCAGGCGGUCAUGGCUACACAGUGAGUCCGUCUCAGAAAAACAAAAUACAGAACAACAACAACAAAAACCCAGUGGUCUCUGCUUAGAUUGCUAUCUCCCCCCACCUCCCUAGGGCCUUGCUGCUAAGCAACCGCUCAACCACCGAGCUACAUCCUCAGCCCACCACUUGAAAUGUGAAUGGUCUGAAAUGAAAUAGGCUAUAAUACACACUGGAUUUCAAAGACUUAGUUAGAACAAAAAAGGAGUGGACCUACUUGAGAUCUUUUCUCAAAAAAAAAAAAAAAGCCAGAAUGUAAAAAUUAGUGAAAAUAAUUUUUAUUAAUUACAUGAUUAAAAGUACAUUUUGGAGUUUUUAUUAAAUAAAGUUAAUUUUCC